rnacentral:rRNA from 1 species
UGCAAGUCGAGCGGUAGAGAGAAGCUUGCUUCUCUUGAGAGCGGCGGACCGGUGAGUAAUGCCUAGGAAUCUGCCUGGUAGUGGGGGAUAACGUUCGGAAACGGACGCUAAUACCGCAUACGUCCUACGGGAGAAAGCAGGGGACCUUCGGGCCUUGCGCUAUCAGAUGAGCCUAGGUCGGAUUAGCUAGUUGGUGGGGUAAUGGCUCACCAAGGCGACGAUCCGUAACUGGUCUGAGAGGAUGAUCAGUCACACUGGAACUGAGACACGGUCCAGACUCCUACGGGAGGCAGCAGUGGGGAAUAUUGGACAAUGGGCGAAAGCCUGAUCCAGCCAUGCCGCGUGUGUGAAGAAGGUCUUCGGAUUGUAAAGCACUUUAAGUUGGGAGGAAGGGUUGUAGAUUAAUACUCUGCAAUUUUGACGUUACCGACAGAAUAAGCACCGGCUAACUCUGUGCCAGCAGCCGCGGUAAUACAGAGGGUGCAAGCGUUAAUCGGAAUUACUGGGCGUAAAGCGCGCGUAGGUGGUUAGUUAAGUUGGAUGUGAAAUCCCCGGGCUCAACCUGGGAACUGCAUUCAAAACUGACUGACUAGAGUAUGGUAGAGGGUGGUGGAAUUUCCUGUGUAGCGGUGAAAUGCGUAGAUAUAGGAAGGAACACCAGUGGCGAAGGCGACCACCUGGACUGAUACUGACACUGAGGUGCGAAAGCGUGGGGAGCAAACAGGAUUAGAUACCCUGGUAGUCCACGCCGUAAACGAUGUCAACUAGCCGUUGGGAGCCUUGAGCUCUUAGUGGCGCAGCUAACGCAUUAAGUUGACCGCCUGGGGAGUACGGCCGCAAGGUUAAAACUCAAAUGAAUUGACGGGGGCCCGCACAAGCGGUGGAGCAUGUGGUUAAUUCGAAGCAACGCGAAGAACCUUACCAGGCCUUGACAUCCAAUGAACUUUCUAGAGAUAGAUUGGUGCCUUCGGGACAUUGAGACAGGUGCUGCAUGGCUGUCGUCAGCUCGUGU